rnacentral:tRNA from 1 species
GGCGGCGUGGCCAAGCGGUAAGGCAAGAGCCUGCAAAGCUCUGACCCCCGGUUCGAAUCCGGGCGCCGCCUCCA